CAGCCGCCGCGGGAAUACGAAGGGGACUAGCGUUGUUCGGAAUUACUGGGCGUAAAGCGCACGCAGGCGGCUCGAUAAAUUAGAAGUGAAAGCCUUGGGCUUAACCUGAGAAUUGCUUUUAAGACUGUCGAGCUAGAAUCCAGAAGAGGGUAGUGGAAUUCCGAGUGUAGAGGUGAAAUUCGUAGAUAUUCGGAAGAACACCAGUGGCGAAGGCGACUACCUGGUCUGGCAUUGACGCUCAUGUGCGAAAGCGUGGGGAGCAAACAGGAUUAGAUACCCCGGUAGUCCCUGUCUCUUAUAC
rnacentral:rRNA from 1 species